ACACCCCAUCCUUCUAGGACGAACGGCUCUGGCAGGAUGGGGCCAACAUAAAAAGGAAAGCUACCCAUGUCUGUGGAGGUCGCCCUAAAGACCAGGCCAGUCAGUAGGCUCGCUGCAGGCUCUUGCACACAUAUAAUCUCAUCCAGUCUAAGAAGAAGCCCUGUGAAUGGUGGAAGGCGCUGACGGCUCUCUUUUAGAGAUGGAGAAACCAAGGCACAAAACAAGAAGGGGCCUGACACAUGCUCUGCAGCAGACAGAAGUCCCUGACGCCUGGUCAUCUAGUCCACAAAAUCAAGAGCAACCUGAGGUCCCAUGGGCCUCGCUGUUCUUCACGACUCCCCAGCUGCCAGCAGGUGUGUAAGAAGCGGUUGGGUGUAUCUGGCCCGGGCCAGAUACUAAGUCAUGACCUGUCCUCGACCCACCCACUCCUCUCCCCCUGAUCCAGGCCUGACCGGUGAGGACUUGGGAUUUUGCCAAGGCUGCUGAGUCAGCUGUCCUUACAGAGCCAUGAGACUGAAUGUAAAAUAAAUGACAGAUGUUACAUGCAGGGCAAGGUGGUUAGAAGAGGUUGUGUCUUCUCCGCCCACUCUUUCCUGUCUACCUGCUGGGUUCAGAGGACUCCGGGCCGUAAGGGAGGGCAGCGUCAUUAGGUGCAAAGAUCCUGGAUCUCUGAAUCACCACGCGGAAGACCUGCUGGCCAGGAACACCCACAGUGGACUGUCACAUGAGCAAGAAUCAGCCUCUACUGUGUUCAACCACUAAAAUUUGGAGAUUUAUUUGUUUCAUCACAGUUGCCUGAUAGGGGUAAGACUGAAAGGAGAAAAUAAGACCAGCACGGCAGAUCUGCCCACCUAGCCCUGACUUGGAAUGUGAUCUGCCUGUUCCCUCAGCCUUGCCACUGGUUCGGCCCCAGUGGGGGAUGCUCUGAGCUCAAACUACUGAUUGCAGAAUUGUCCCUUUCUCACUCAUCAGCAUCAGUCCCAGCCCCGCCUAUGCUGGGC